rnacentral:rRNA from 1 species
CGGCGACGGGCGAGUAAUGUCUGGGAAACUGCCUGAUGAGGGGGAUAACUACUGGAAACGGUAGCUAAUACCGCAUAACGUCUUCGGACCAAAGUGGGGGACCUUCGGGCCUCACGCCAUCGGAUGUGCCCAGAUGGGAUUAGCUAGUAGGUGGGGUAAUGGCUCACCUAGGCGACGAUCCCUAGCUGGUCUGAGAGGAUGACCAGCCACACUGGAACUGAGACACGGUCCAG